rnacentral:lncRNA from 13 species
AUGUACUGUAUAAUUAAUACUUUGCAUAUGUUUUUAUUUAAGGUCAACCUUACCUUUGUUUAUUUUGUCAUUGCCCAACUCAUCUUCGAUGUCUUGAAAAGGAAAGAGUCUAUAAUAUUAAUGUAUCUCCUCAUCACUUCUUCUGAUGCCAGAGCCAAACCAUCCCUGACUACAGCCAUUCCUUCUGGAACAACCUCUUAUCUGCAUCAAAACGAUGUCUAAUCUCAUUCUGUGCGUCACCACCAUAGUGGGAUAAGCUGCAAGACGCAGCUUGUUCAAAGAGACUCCCGUCCUGUGUCUUUCCACUGAUUGACUACCUCUCGAUGUCUUCUCAGUUCCCAUCAUAUGGUUCAAUAGACCAUCAUUGUUAAUUGUUUACUCCAUGUGUAACUCUGUGUUGUUGUCUGUGUCACACUGCUAUGCUUUAUCUUGGCCAUCUUGGCUAUCUGGUUAAAUAAAGGUGAAAUAAAAAUCAUGUCUUCCUCAAUAGACAGUCAAUGAGAUGAGGGAGAUACUGUAUAUUACUCUAAACUAUGCUCCUCUGUUGGGAUGAGGAAGGCCAUUUGAUCAGGGUUUAACGAUGCCUUUUGGCUCUGUGAUGGUGUGUCCUCCUGAGUGAUGGGCGUGUGUGAACAGACAGAUCCCCCCCCUCGGUGCCAUCUGAGAGGGUGUCAUCUGAAAUAAUUUGUUUCCCUGCCGGACCCUCGUCCAGAAUCAGGUUGCUUUGACUUGUCAGAGAUCAUGUGGGAUCAUAUAUUCAAGGAAAUGUUGCCUCUUUGCUUAGCAAAGAAAUUGGGUAGUUUUAAAAAAUAGAUUACAAAAAAAUGAAGACAGGCACUAAGCAGGUUUGUCCAAGAUGGCUUCAUAUUAGCAGAGUACACUGUCUGAACCUGCUAUGACUCAUUAUAAUUUUCACUGCUGUGAUUUCUCUUCCACAUGUUCCCCUCACACGUCUGUUUGUCCCUCCACAGUGUGUUUGUGUACUGUCCGCUUGAUGUUUGAGUGAGUUGUUUCUCAGUAUCGGGGGAAAGACUGGGAAGCCCACAUGUCCUGUUGUCAGUGGACUCUGCCCCUCCACGCUGGAUGGAGGAGGGGACGUGAACAUGGAGGUGUGACACUUGUGUGUGUGUGUGUGUGCGUGCCCUCAGACAGACACUCAUACACAGUGGGGACCCAGCCAGAGGGAGGAGUAAUACACACCUGUCUGUAGCACAUUCCAAAGUGGAACUCUGAACAUUUUACCCAGCAAACUUUACAUUUUUUUAUUUAUUUAUUUAACUAGGCAAGUCAGUUAUGAACAAAUUCUUAUUUUCAAUGACAGCCUAGGAACAGUGGGUUAACUGCCUUGUUCAGGGGCAGAACGACAGAUUUUUACCUUGUCAGCUCAGGGAUUUGAUCUUGCAACCUCUCAGUUACUAGUCAAACACUCUAACCACUAAGCUACCUGUCACCCCAAACAUGCCCACAUUGGCUAAAAUAUUGGCCCUGUGUAGGCUGCCCACACUGGCUAAAAUAUUGUCCCCGGGUAGGCUGCUCACAUUGGCUAAAAUAUUGUCCCCAUGUAGGCUGCUCACAUUGGCUAAAAUAUUGUCCCCAUGUAGGCUGCUCACAUUGGCUAAAAUAUUGUCCCCGUGUAGGCUGCUCACAUUGGCUAAAAUAUUGUCCCCGUAUUG